UAUGUUGAAUGAAAUCAUCAAGUUUUUGAUUCUAAAUCUAAUAUCUAAACAAAGUAAUCACGAAAAAAUUUUGCGAAAAGUGAACAUAGUACUAAUUAUUAGGUCGUUUUGAUAGUAUGCCAAAUUCUAAGGAUUUGAUAAUUUUGGGAACAACUGGAGUGGUCGCAAUUAUGGCUCUGACUGGAGUUUAUCUAUUACAACUAUCUGAGCAAGAGUAUUCCCCGACCUUUAUAGAUGAUGAUGAUAUUUGUGCAAUUUGUUAUGACUCCCUAAACGAUAGACCUCAAGAUACUAGUUAUUUAAAUUGCUAUCACCGUUUCCACGAUAUAUGCAUUGAAAGACUGAGGCGUAGCAACACUCGUGAGAAUUGGAUUUGUCCAAAAUGUCGUCAAAUGUGUUAAUAGAUAUUUAAAUAAGCAACAAUUUUUUCUACUUUUUAUUAUUAUUUAUAUGAAAUACUAGUUUUGCCUUCGUUUAAACUGAUGUAAUAAAAGCUAAAAGUUAGUUUUAGAUUUGAAA
rnacentral:sRNA from 1 species